UGAUUUGUUAGGCAGAGGCUCCUAUGCAAACAUAAGCUACUGCCCAGGAACGUCCAGAGACGCCAAUGGGUAUAACAGAAAUUUUCGAAAUAAGGAAAUUUUUAAUGUAGCUAACCUCUCGUUUACGUUGCAUAGUGCUGAAACUCCACGAAA
rnacentral:sRNA from 1 species